UACGAAGGGGGCUAGCGUUGCUCGGAAUCACUGGGCGUAAAGCGCUCGUAGGCGGAUCUUUAAGUCAGGGGUGAAAUCCCGAGGCUCAACCUCGGAACUGCCUUUGAUACUGGGGAUCUCGAGUCCGGGAGAGGUGAGUGGAACUGCGAGUGUAGAGGGGAAAUUCGUAGAUAUUCGCAAGAACACCAGUGGCGAAGGCGGCUCACUGGCCCGGUACUGACGCUGAGGAGCGAAAGCGUGGGGAGCAAACAGG
rnacentral:rRNA from 1 species